CCACUUGUCAUUGCAGUGGGGAUCCUCGAGGGGAGAUGUUUGAAGGAAGAGGUGGACCACCAAUGCCUGGCUUUAGAGGACGAGAUGGCAUGAACAUGGGAGCAGGGCCUCAGGACAGACCACCUAUGGAUAUGAGGAGAUUUGAUUGUCCACCUGAUAUGAUGGCACGAAACAUGGGUCCUCUUGACAGAGGACGAGACCCUCCCCGAGACUUCUUAAGGCCUGGAAAUGAAGUUGACAUGAACUUUAGAAGACGUUUUGACAUGGAGUUCAGAAACAACCCACAAAAUCCUCCCGGUUUUAUGGGUCAGGGUAGGCCACCUAUGGAUAUGGGUGGCAGAAACAUGCAGGCUAGGAACAUGAGGGGUUCUGAAGAUCAAUUUAUGGACAUGAGAGAGAGGGACAGAUUUCGAAUGGACAUGCCUGGCUUCGGUAUGUCUCCUAUGGAUAUUAGGAGAAGACUUCCUAUGGAGCCUAUGGACAGAAAUGACAAUUUAAGAGAAAAAGAGAGGCAACAAAUAGGCAGGAAUGAUGUUAAUGGCUUCAGAGGAGACAUGCCUACACGUGAAAGAUCAGGGAUGGACUUUGAGAGACGAGGCUUUGCACCUCCUUUGAAUUCUAGAGGAAGGUUUGAAUCAGAUAUGGAUUUUAGAAAUCGUAUGGGAUCCUCAGGUGAUUUUAGGGACCGAUCUCCUCAAAUGUUUCGAGACAAUAAUGGCACUCCUAUGGAUGUCAGGGCAAGACCUGACAUGCCUCUAGAAUGCCGUGAUCCAGAGAAAGCUAUGCUUAGAGUAGGUGAACCAACUCUAAGGGACAGGGAGUUCCCUGAGCCAAAUGAAAACCCAGCAGAGUUUAGAGGAGAUGAGAACAAAUCACUCUCAGAGGAGUGGCGCAAGCAUGGCAUGCGUGAUCGCGAUGGUUUUUCACCAAUGAUGAAUAGUUCGUCUUUCCCCAGAGAUAUGAAAGAACGAUUUCUACCUGGACGUGGCAAGGAAGGUGAGUUAGGAGAGCCUUCCCAAUUUAAAGAUAUAGAUCGACCACCUGUCGUAUUACCAGGAAAAGAUCGUGGGACCUUUGUCUUUUCUCGACCAGAAAGAGAAGGUUCUACUGUACCAAACUGGGACAAGAAUAUUCCUACAGAUUUUCCAGCUAGAGAUGCACCUCAAACUAUUCAGAAACCACCACUCUUGCCAUUGGCUCCAGCACUAAAAAAUCCAUGCAGAGACAGUGAUGGUCAGGUCUGGUCAAGAGAUGAAAAGCCUGAAAACACUCUACCAUUAAGUGGAAGACAUUCAUUCAUUCCAGAAAAGAGUCUGCCAAACCAAAUCUUGACUGAUCAAGGAACCUUUAAGGGAUCUAAGGAUAUGCCUCUUGAGCAGGGCCCCAAGAAAGGGAAUCUGCCACCAGCACCCAGGGACCCUCAGAGUAACAGAGGAGAAAGACAAGACCAGGACUACAGAGACAUUGACUAUAGGACGAGUUCAGGGCGAAAAUAUGACUACAUCCUUGGUGAUCUUCAAGGGGCAGAAAAAAAUUUGAAAGAAUCUAAAUUGACUGCACCUGAAAGACCAAAUGACUCUAGUUCGCAGGUCAGAGAAUA
ensembl:lncRNA